rnacentral:rRNA from 1 species
AGGAUGAACGCUGGCGGUAUGCUUUACACAUGCAAGUCGUACGAGAGUUUUUAACUCAAGUGGCGGACGGGUGAGUAACACGUAAGAAUUUGCCUUUAGGAGGGGGAUAACAACUGGAAACGGUUGCUAAUACCCCAUAUGCUUUCGAGUAAAAUGGAUUUUUCCGCCUAAAGAGAAGCUUGCGGCUGAUUAGCUUGUUGGUGAGGUAAUGGCUUACCAAGGCGACGAUCAGUAUCUGGUUUGAGAGGACGAUCAGACACACUGGAACUGAGACACGGUCCAGACUCCUACGGGAGGCAGCAGUGGGGAAUUUUCCGCAAUGGGCGAAAGCCUGACGGAGCAAUACCGCGUGAGGGAUGACGGCCUAUGGGUUGUAAACCUCUUUUUUCAGGGAGGAAUCAAUGACGUGUACCUGAAGAAUAAGCAUCGGCUAACUCCGUGCCAGCAGCCGC